rnacentral:rRNA from 1 species
AUUGAACGCUGGUGGCAGGCCUAACACAUGCAAGUCGGGCGCGCGGCGCACGUGUGUGUAAUGUAUGGGGAUCUGCCUGAUGGUGGGGUAUAACUACUGGACACUGUAGCUAAUCCCGCAUACCAUCAUGUGACCCCAUAUGGGAUUGGCUUGUAGGUGAUGUAACGGCUCACCUAGGCGACGAUCCCUAGCUGGUCUGAGAGGAGCACAAGCGAAACUGGGAAGGAGACACGGCCCAGACUCCUACGGGAGGCAGCAGUGGGGAAUAGUGCACAAUGGGCGCAAGCCUGAUGCAGCCAUGCCGCGUGUAUGAAGAAGGCCUUCGGGUUGUAAAGUACUUUCAGUCGGGAGGCGUUACAGGCAGAAGAAGCACCGGCUAACUCCGUGCCAGCAGCCGCGGUAAUUC